UAUCAAUCUCCAGAUUCCAGUUAUUCAUCCAUCGUUUAUAUUUGCCAUCUUAUUGAUCCACACUCAAAAAGAAAGAAAAACACACUUUCUCUACUACUCAAAUUCACAAAUAAUGUGUUUAUAUUCAAUGUUUUAUCUUCCACGCAAACAAUUUUUUUUUCUUACUCAGUCUCUCAUGAUCUCACUCUUUAAUAAGCAGUGUCAGUAUAUUAAGCCUCGCUCUCUCACAUGCAAGGUUUCCGUUCGAAGAACUCAGCCUCAGGUACAUUUCUGGAACGAAUAAAAACAGAAACGAGAAAGAAGAAGACUAAAGACAAAUUUGGCAUUAACAAGAACGACUUAGGCCAACAGAUAAUCAAGCAAAACAAAAAUCUCAAACUACAAAAAGACAAAGAGCGCUCUUUACAACAAACGGAGUGUAAGAGCAGAACGUACGUAAUCUAAAAAUAAGUGGUAUCAUUAGUUAUUCUCUUAUUAUUUCUCUUUUAUGUUACUCUUCAAAACUUUGCUUUGUUUUUGUAACCGUUGGAAGUUUGCAGAAAUACCUAACACUGUACCCGAAAAAUGAUGUGAUCUAUCUUUCAUAAGA